rnacentral:misc_RNA from 1 species
GAUGAAGAACGCAGCGAAAUGCGAUAAGUAAUGUGAAUUGCAGAAUUCAGUGAAUCAUCGAAUCUUUGUACGCACCUUGCACCCUUUGGCUAUUCCGAAGGGUAUGCCUGUUUGAGUAUCAUGAACACCUCAACUCUCAUGGUUUGCCAUGAUGAGCUUGGACUUUGGGGGUCUUGCUGGCCUGUGGUCAGCUCCUCUCAAAUGGAUUAGCUUGCCAGUGUUUGGUGGCAUCACAGGUGUGAUAACUAUCUACGCUUGUGGUUUUCCACCAGGUAACCUUCAGCAAUGGGGGUUCGCUGGGGCUCAUAAAUGUCUCUCCUCAGUGAGGACAGCUCUUUGAACGUUUGAUCUCAAAUCAGGUAGGACUACCCGCUGAACUUAAGCAUAUCAAUAAGCGGAGGA